CAGAGGUGGCGCUGCACAUGUCCGACGGUUAGGGUUAGGGUGAGACUUUGGGCAAGGGGUUAGGGUUAGGGUUGGAGCUAGGGUUAGGGUUAGGGUUGGAGCUAGGGUUAGGGUUAGGGUUGGAGCUAGGGUUAGGGUUAGGGUUAGGAAAAUGUGAAGAUUUUCCCAAAAUCUGAAGAUUUUCCUAAGUGCGGACCCAAUUUUUCACCUUCCAGAAUUGUGUUAGGAGCACGUUUCAGGCCACGGGGAGUCCAUAGAACCUGAUUCUGGGUGAAGUUUUCGGGGGUUGGAGCUUUGGGGCAGGAUAUAGGGAUAUGUGCCACUUUUGACAUGCCGGUUCAUUGCCUUUCCCAAUGAUGAACCGGGCUGAGAUUUGGUCUACCCCCCUAUUUUCGGGUAUGCUGAAUCUAGAAAUACUAAUGAACCAGCGAUCGGACAUUCCUAUCAAAAGUUAUGGCGAAAUGAAAAUUUCCCAUUGAAAAUGAAUGGGAGCGGAAAAAUGGCCAAAGUCAGUGUUUGCAAGUGUUGUACUUGUCUGGAACUGUUGAAAAUGCAUUGUGAGCACGUUUCAGGCCAUUUCCUGUCAUUUGAGGGCGACUUUGCAAAAAGGGGUGUCAUACCGCUUUUGACCAGAGGUGGCGCUGCACAUGUCCGACGGUUAGGGUUAGGGUGAGACUUUGGGCAAGGGGUUAGGGUUAGGGUUGGAGCUAGGGUUAGGGUUAGGGUUGGAGCUAGGGUUAGGGUUAGGGUUGGAGCUAGGGUUAGGGUUAGGGUUAGGAAAAUGUGAAGAUUUUCCCAAAAUCUGAAGAUUUUCCUAAGUGCGGACCCAAUUUUUCACCUUCCAGAAUUGUGUUAGGAGCACGUUUCAGGCCACGGGGAGUCCAUAGAACCUGAUUCUGGGUGAAGUUUUCGGGGGUCGGAGCUUUGGGGCAGGAUAUAGGGAUAUGUGCCACUUUUGACAUGCCGGUUCAUUGCCUUUCCCAAUGAUGAACCGGGCUGAGAUUUGGUCUACCCCCCUAUUUUCGGGUAUGCUGAAUCUAGAAAUACUAAUGAACCAGCGAUCGGACAUUCCUAUCAAAAGUUAUGGCGAAAUGAAAAUUUCCCAUUGAAAAUGAAUGGGAGCGGAAAAAUGGCCAAAGUCAGUGUUUGCAAGUGUUGUACUUGUCUGGAACUGUUGAAAAUGCAUUGUGAGCACGUUUCAGGCCAUUUCCUGUCAUUUGAGGGCGACUUUGCAAAAGGGUGUCAUACCGCUUUUGACCAGAGGUGGCGCUGCACAUGUCCGACGGUUAGGGUUAGGGUUGGGACUUUAGGGUUAGCAAGGGGUUAGGGUUAGGGUUGGAGGUAGGGUUAGGGUUAGGGUUGGAGCUAGGGUUAGGGUUAGGGUUGGAGCUAGGGUUAGGGUUAGGGUUAGGGUUAUGUGAAGAUUUUCCAAAAUCUGAAGAUUUUCCUAAGUGCGGACCCAAUUUUUCACCUUCCAGAAUUGUGUUAGGAGCACGUUUCAGGCCACGGGGAGUCCAUAGAACCUGAUUCUGGGUGAAGUUUUCGGGGUUGGAGCUUUGGGGCAGGAUAUAGGGAUAUGUGCCACUUUUGACAUGCCGGUUCAUUGCCUUUCCCAAUGAUGAACCGGGCUGAGAUUUGGUCUACCCCCCCAUUUUCGGGUAUGCUGAAUCUAGAAAUACUAAUGAACCAGCGAUCGGACAUUGCUAUCAAAAGUUAUGGCGAAAUGAAAAUUUCCCAUUGAAAAUGAAUGGGAGAUGAAAAUUGGAAAAAUUCAGUUUUUUAAGUGUUUGACUUUGUAUGGAAAUGUUCAAAAUGGAUUGUGAUCAUGUUUCAGGCCAUUUCCUGUCAUUUGAGGGCGACUUUGCAAAAAGGGGUGUCAUACCGCUUUUGACCAGAGGUGGUGCUGCACAUGUCCGACGGUUAGGGUUAGGGUGAGACUUUGGGCAAGGGGUUAGGGUUAGGGUUGGAGCUAGGGUUAGGGUUAGGGUUGGAGCUAGGGUUAGGGUUAGGGUUGGAGCUAGGGUUAGGGUUAGGGUUGGAGCUAGGGUUAGGGUUAGGGUUAGGAAAAUGUGAAGAUUUUCCCAAAAUCUGAAGAUUUUCCUAAGUGCGGACCCAAUUUUUCACCUUCCAGAAUUGUGUUAGGAGCACGUUUCAGGCCACGGGGAGUCCAUAGAACCUGAUUGUGGGUGAAGUUUUCGGGGGUUGGAGCUUUGGGGCAGGAUAUAGGGAUAUGUGCCACUUUUGACAUGCCGGUUCAUUGCCUUUCCCAAUGAUGAACCGGGCUGAGAUUUGGUCUACCCCCCUAUUUUCGGGUAUGCUGAAUCUAGAAAUACUAAUGAACCAGCGAUCGGACAUUCCUAUCAAAAGUUAUGGCGAAAUGAAAAUUUCCCAUUGAAAAUGAAUGGGAGCGGAGAAAUGGCCAAAGUCAGUGUUUGCAAGUGUUGUACUUGUCUGGAACUGUUGAAAAUGCAUUGUGAGCACGUUUCAGGCCAUUUCCUGU
rnacentral:lncRNA from 1 species